AUGGUUCGGCCAUCGUAUGUAACAGCUAUUGUUAUUAUUCUUAAACAAAUCAAAUCCGAUAAAAAGCGAGUACCCUUCGAAAGAGGGCGGGCGGAAGUUAUCCAAGAAAAAGAAAGAGGGAAAGGAAAAGGAAAGGAAGAAGAUGAGUGCGAUCGAUGUACUGACGCGGGUGGACGUCAUCUGCAAGAAUACGACAGGUACAACAUCGACAAGCACCGCGCCGGCGGCGGCUCCGGCGACGAUGCCUUCUCUCGCCUCUUCGCCGCCGUCGAUGCCGAAAUCGAACUGGCCCUCCAGAAAUCGGCGAUGGUGUCUUGGCGGCGACCAAGAACGCCGAGAUCCAGCGAACCAAAGCCCUGUUGCUCGAGGAAGUCCCAAAGUUGCGGAGAUUGGCCAUUAAGAAGUUCACUUCUUCCUUUGGAAAUUGGAAGUGUUUGAAUAUUAAAUGUAUCCAAAUCUGGAACAUUUUUAGGUACCCUCCUUAAUGCACAAUUUUGCUUGACAAUAACUGUUUAUUCUUGACCUAUAUAACAAUAAUUUGAAGUCCCUACAUAGAUGGGCUGGAUAAAAUAUCAACAUGUUCAUGUACAACUUUCUUUUGACCAUUUCAUUGGUGACACUUUGCCAAAUCGGUUUGUCCAUAUCAUUAUUGAUAUCCAAGAUUCACAAUUAGAAUUAUCCAAAGUAAACUU